rnacentral:rRNA from 1 species
UCCGGUUGAUCCUGCCGGACCUGACUGCUAUCGGAUUGAUACUAAGCCAUGCGAGUCAUUGUAGCAAUACAAGGCAUACGGCUCAGUAACGCGUAGUCAACCUAACCUAUGGACGGGAAUAACCUCGGGAAACUGAGAAUAAUGCCCGAUAGAACACUAUACCUGGAAUGGUUUGUGUUCCAAAUGAUUUAUCGCCAUAGGAUGGGACUGCGGCCUAUCAGUUUGUUGGUGAGGUAAUGGCCCACCAAGACUAUUACAGGUACGGGCUCUGAGAGGAGUAGCCCGGAGAUGGGUACUGAGACACGGACCCAGGUCCUAUGGGGCGCAGCAGGCGAGAAAACUUUGCAAUGUGCGAAAGCACGACAAGGUUAAUCCGAGUGAUUUGUGCUAAACGAAUCUUUUGUUAGUCCUAGAAACACUAACGAAUAAGGGGUGGGCAAGUUCUGGUGUCAGCCGCCGCGGUAAAACCAGCACCUCAAGUGGUCAGGAUGAUUAUUGGGCCUAAAGCAUCCGUAGCCGGCUCUGUAAGUUUUCGGUUAAAUCUGUACGCUUAACGUACAGGCUGCCGGGAAUACUGCAGAGCUAGGGAGUGGGAGAGGUAGACGGUACUCGGUAGGAAGUGGUAAAAUGCUUUGAUCUAUCGAUGACCACCUGUGGCGAAGGCGGUCUACCAGAACACGUCCGACGGUGAGGGAUGAAAGCUGGGGGAGCAAACCGGAUUAGAUACCCGGGUAGUCCCAGCUGUAAACUAUGCAAACUCAGUGAUGCAUUGGCUUGUGGCCAAUGCAGUGCUGCAGGGAAGCCGUUAAGUUUGCCGCCUGGGAAGUACGUACGCAAGUAUGAAACUUAAAGGAAUUGGCGGGGGAGCACCACAGGGGGUGAAGCCUGCGGUUCAAUUGGAUUCAACGCCGGA